rnacentral:rRNA from 1 species
CCCUUAGAUGUUCUGGGCCGCACGCGCGCUACACUGACACGUUCAUCAAGUCUAUAACCUUGACCGAGAGGUCUGGGUAAUCUUUUAAAAACGUGUCGUGCUGGGGAUAGAUUAUUGCAAUUAUUAAUCUUCAACGAGGAAUUCCUAGUAAACGCAAGUCAUCAACUUGCAUUGAUUACGUCCCUGCCCUUUGUACACACCGCCCGUCGCUACUACCGAUUGAAUGAUUUAGUGAGUACCAGGGACCGAGCGCUUUGGUUGGGUUUCCUUCCCUAGCGCUUGGGAACUGGCGCAAACUUGACCAUUUAGAGGAAGUAAAAGUCGUAACA